UACGUAGGGUGCAAGCGUUGUCCGGAAUUAUUGGGCGUAAAGAGCUCGUAGGCGGUCUGUCGCGUCUGCUGUGAAAACUCGGGGCUUAACCCCGGGCCUGCAGUGGGUACGGGCAGACUAGAGUGCGGUAGGGGAGACUGGAAUUCCUGGUGUAGCGGUGAAAUGCGCAGAUAUCAGGAGGAACACCGGUGGCGAAGGCGGGUCUCUGGGCCUAAUUGAACUCUGAGGAGCGAAAGCUGGGGAGCGAACAGG
rnacentral:rRNA from 1 species